rnacentral:tRNA from 1 species
GGAAGUGUAGCUCAGUGGUAGAGUGCAUGCUAGUGUGCACGAGGUCCUGGGUUCAAUCCCCAGCAUCUCCA